ACAAAAUCGAUCAGUCUUAGAUAAAAAUGUUCCAUUAAAGAACACAACAAUGUAAUGUCUUAAAGGAUAAAUCAAUAAUAAAUAUACUCUAUGUUGUCGGGUAAAAACACAAAAACAACAAGAAAAAACAACGACAGCCUGUCGGAGUCCGUCUGUCAAAUCUGGCUAGCUGGCAAUGACAGGAGGUGGAGCAACCAGUAAACGACAAGUUAUACAGCAAAAUAAAUUGUUUUUGUUACACAAUUUUUUGGUGUUAUGGGAGCCACUUGACUUGUAAACGGGCGAUGGCCCUAACAAUGGCAAGAGCAACAACCAAAAUAACCACAAAGGAGAAGGGAAGGCUCACAGAAUAGCAAAGGAGUGGAGGAGGCAGGCACUCGAGAAAGGAAAGAACAUCAAAGAGCUCCCAUUGUUGACCCAGUUAUGGACCACAACACAGUCAGCACUCACAAAUAAAUGCCAAGGAGCUGCACCUGAAAUAAAAAAAAUUGUUAAAGGUUUAAUUUACAAAAAUAUUUCUGAUUAAAAAAACAAUGAACGAUUUUAAGA